AGUAAAUUCCAUUGUGCUCUACAACUGGAAACAACAGUGAGAAAACAAAACUGGACAGACAUGGAGGGGGUGAUUCAGAUCUGAUCGCUGGCCUGCAAAUUUUUUUGUCCUGUGUUCAGAUAGUCGCCGCCCCCAGGGGGAGUGUAAAUUCACUGUAUGUUUAUGCUGUUAAUGCUUGGAAUUAAUGUACCGGUUUUGGAAAAGCAGAGCUAUACCAUACUGUUUUGGUGUAAAAUCACUUGUUUCUAAAGGAAAUAUGGGAAAAUGUUUAACAGUCAGCAUGGAAUGCGGUCAUAUGACAGGCGAUCGGGAUCCCGGCAUCGACAUGAUGAGCCCACAAUGGGCUUUUUUGCGCUCGCAACCCCUCCCUCCCCCCCUUCCCCGCCAGCAUUCUGCUGCCGGGAUCCCAGGGGUAUGCUGACUGUGGGGAUCCCGGCAGCCGGCAAUGCGAUCCCAACCCGUCAGCAUAUGUCCAUCCAUACUAUCAGUUCCAAGCCACUGAUCAACUCAGACACUGCUGGAGGACUGGCUUAUGGAGCUCUGCAUGUUUCUGCUGCAUAUGUGAAACGGAAUUCACUUUAAACAAGCUGCACAGAAGUCAUGAAAUGGUGCCUCCCUCACAUUUAGAGCAUACAUUGUAUAAACAGUUACAGCACAGAUUCAUGACGCUUGAUAGGAAGUCCCUUGUAUGUUGACCUUUGACCUCGAUCACACCUAUCCGCUAUUAAUGGCCUUUCCGUACAUUAAUAAAAUGCAUGAAAGGUGAAUUUAAUAAUAGAACAAAAGUGAGAUAAUGGUGUAAUUAAAACUAUUGUGCUCUAACAUACUAACACUGCAUUUAAUAUUUUAGGGAACAGCAUUUAUGAGCGCUCAUGUGUUAAUGUGUACUGCCAUUAUAAUAUAUUGUACUCGUAAAUGCAGAAUGCACAAAAUACUUGGAUAAAAUCUGAAAAAUGCAAGAGAAAAAAUAUGCCUAUAGCGUGUAAUGGUUUCGGACAUUUACUGGCCAUUUUCCCAGUGUAAAUACGAGCCCUCAGGUUAUUGUUCAACUUUAGCAUCGCACUUGCAAGUGGCUCAUAAGUGUAAAGUGUAAAGCAAUACCAUGUCAUGCAUCAUGACCUUUUCCUGAACUGUCUUCCUCUCACCUUGCAACAGGCCUCACUGGUUCCAACUCCAUCUGGUUUAGAUUCCAUUUCUACCCUCCAUUCUCCACUUCAGUCAUGGAAUCCUUAUCUGUGCUUUGCAAGGGGAUUUAUUAAGUAAUAGAACAGCUUAUUUAGCUUAAGGGUUCCCGUAAAAAAGAACAAAUGAAGAUAUAAUUAUUGCAUCUAUUUCACCAUCUAUACAACAUACUGUACUUCUGAUAAUAUUUAAGCCUGCAUUAAAUGUUUA